rnacentral:rRNA from 1 species
CUGGGCUGGAUGAGUGGCGAACGGGUGAGUAACACGUGGGUAACCUGCCCUCUUCUUUGGGAUAACGGUCGGAAACGGCUGCUAAUACCGGGUAUUCACUGUCCUUCGCAUGGGGGGUGGUGGAAAGGUUUUUUCUGGUGGGGGAUGGGCUCGCGGCCUAUCAGCUUGUUGGUGGGGUGAUGGCUUACCAAGGCUUUGACGGGUAACCGGCCUGAGAGGGUGACCGGUCACAUUGGGACUGAGAUACGGCCCAG